GUCAUUAUCCACUUAAUUCAAAUUAAGAACCAAAUUAAUUCACAAUUAGUAAAAGAAAUGACAAAGGGAUUUAGGGUUACAUGCUGAGUCAUUGAGGUGAACGAAGCUUCCUCUUUCUCUUGUAGACAAGAACGGUGGCCGGAGGUCUCUCCCUCAAACUUUUCUGAUUCCUCAUCGACAGCAGUGGUACACCGUUCCGAUUCAUGCCGUCGUAUCAAAUCGAUCCUAGCUUGUUUCUAUUUUCUUCUCCACGUGCGACGGCGGAAGAUGGUGAUGAUUACUUGAUGUGCGUUGUGGAGAAAAUUGAAAUUACAGCAAAGAGAUGUUGAAGGAGAUUGCAUAUGUUGUUGCGGAUUUGUGGAGAGUUUUACCGAUGAUGAAUUCUGAAGAUUGUUGAUCGAAGAUUCUCUCGAAUUUUUGUGUUUUCAGAUUGUUGUAUUUGCGUGAUGUUGUUGAAUGAAGCGUGAGGAUGAAGAUUGGUGUUUGAUUCUUUGUUACGGAUUCAACUAUGAACUGAUUGAAGAUUGAAUUGAAGGAGAAUCGAUGGAGGAAGAAUGGAGAGAGGUUGAAGGUUUGUCACGUUUCUGUUACCUCCUCUCCAAUUCUGUUAUGAGUGAUUGAUUUUCUGAAUGAUUUCUGUGUAUGAAAUUGCAGAGAGAAUGAGAUUGAAGAUUGUUGAAGAUUAUUGAUGAAUUUUGAGAGAAACAUGAAGAUUGUUCGGUUGAUUGAAGAAUGAAUGGAGUUUUUGUGAGAAUGAGAGAUUGAAGAUUGAAGAGUCAUGGUAGUGGUGCGGUGAUGAAGAGGUGAAGGUUUGGAGGUGAAGAUUGAAGGUUAUGGAAGAUUUCAGAGGUGUCUCAAUGAAGAUGAAGAAGGUGAAGAUUGAUCCAUCGAGAGAAGUUUGUUACCGAUUCAGUUAGAGGCCUGGUUUAGCUUGGAGAUGCGACCCGGUUCGGUUAGAAUUGUCAAAAAAAUGGACAGGCGUGGAGCUGUUUAUCAUUUUUUGAGCUGUUGAUUUCAGUUAUGUUGCAGGGCCGAUAGUUUAAGUUGGAGAAUUGCUUUGGAAGCAUGUUUUAAUUUGUAGAGUCUUAUUUGCUGGUAAAAUGUUAAGGUGGAAAUUGAAUUCUGGACAUUCUGAUACAAUUUGUACAAACUGUUUUGUGUAAUUUUUGUAAACAAACUUUGUAUGAACUUUGGAUUCUUGAACAUGUAAUGGUAAAAAUGGAUUUUGUGAACGUAGAAUUGUAACUAUUUUAUAUUGAUCCAAUCUUGAACACUUGAAUUUGGAAUUUUGAAUGAGGAUUAAUGAUGAAUUAACUCAAAUCUUGAAUCAUGUCUUGAAUAUGUCAUAGGAGAUCCCCACACAUUUUGCUUUCAACAUUUAUAGACCUCAAACAACUUUAACAGCUUUGAUCCACUCUAGAAUCUGAAUGAAUACCUCAAGGUGCAUCCUAAUUCUCAAAUGAUUGACAAAUAACUUGCAUUGUAAGCAACAAGUAAUAAAGAUGAGAACUAAGCUUCUUUGAUCAAAAUGAAUCAACAAAUUCAUCUUUUAUGUCAUGGCAUGCACUUUACUUCAAUUCGAUAUAACAAUAAUGCCUUGAGGAAUUCUUGAAGAAGAUAAGAAUUGAAGCACAUAAGAACAUCUUGACAUGAAAUCCAAUGAAUC